rnacentral:rRNA from 1 species
AUUGAACGCUGGCGGCAGGCUUAACACAUGCAAGUCGAGCGAGCGGCGGACGGGUGAGUAACGUCUGGGAAACUGCCUGAUGGAGGGGGAUAACUACUGGAAACGGUAGCUAAUACCGACUACAAUAAGAUGUGCCCAGAUGGGAUUAGCUAGUAGGUGGGGUAAUGGCUCACCUAGGCGACGAUCCCUAGCUGGUCUGAGAGUAUGACCAGCCACUCUGGAACUGAGACACGGUCCAGACUCCUACGGGAGGCAGCAGUGGGGAAUAUUGCACAAUGGGCGCAAUCCUGACGCAGCCAUGCCGCUUGUGUGAAGAAGGCCUUCGGUUUGUAAAGCACUUUCAGCGAGGAGGCGUUACUCGCAGAAGAAGCACCGGCUAACUCCGUGCCAGCAGCCGCGGUAAUUG